GCAUUAGUAGCUCAGUGACCAGAGCCCCGGUCUUGUAAACCGGAUGUCAAGGGUUAAAAUCCCUUCUAAUGCU
ensembl:Mt_tRNA